rnacentral:lncRNA from 1 species
GUGAAGGUUAGACCAAAGCCAGUCCAGGACCUCCCCGGUUAAAUCGGGAGCGUCAGCCACCGAGCACAGCAGGCCUGCGUUCCUGCCUCCUCCACGCCCAGCCCAGCGCGGGACCCCGGAAGGGCGGCCCGCCCAGCAGCCGGCCGUCCGGCCGUCGGUCUGUCCGCAGCGCGAAAGCCGCCUUGGAAGGACUCACUGCUGCCCUGGAGUCGACCUCUGUAACUGGAGCGGCGCCCGGACCCGAUGCCAGGAGUGCAAACAGCCUCCAGAAAGGCGGAGUUCUUCCGAAGAGCAGCAAGAGCCGCAGGAGACGGCCUUGCACCUUCCAGUCCGAGCCCGGCUCAGCCGGCUGAGUACUCGCUUGGCCCCGCUGUCAGGGCAGCUUGAGCACGCGGAGAAACCUGAGUCAGCUUUGAACAGUCUGUGUACAGUGACAGGGGGAGCAGUGUGCAGACUGACCCACUAAGAGCAUGCGUGGGAAAAGUUCUCGUAAUAAAGAAGACAGUGGAACUGCAGGUUAUUAUGGCUUAGAGGAAGACUGUCUCCCCAAACGCUCCUGUGUGGGGGAGGUGACCAGAUCGUGGGGUGCUGUUCUCACCGGUGGAUCCAGCCAUGGAUGAGGCCACUCCUGGGACACUUGGCGCCUGUGCUCACAGGUCUGGUGGCUUGCUCGGCCCCUCCCCCCUGCUGGGGCUGAACCGGUGCCACCUCAGAAGCCAGACUGCAUCCUGCCUACCCUGUGCCUCUUCUCAUGAAGAGGACAGGACCCUCUGUGAUCUAAGCCGUAUCCUCUCUGCCCUCAACGCCUCACAUGCCCUCCCUUGAAGACAGUGGGAAGUCAGCUACCAUCCUGUCUCAAGAAGAGGCCUGAGCAGCAAGGAGCUUGCUAUGUCUUGGGUGUGGUUUUUCUACCAAAGGUUCAUGUAGAAGAUUGAUCCACAGUGUGGUGAUGUUAAAAAGUGGUGGGAUCUUGCCAGGAGUGGUGGGGGAGGCCUGUAAUCGUAGCACCUGGGAGGCCGAGGCAGGAGCAUUGCAAAUUCAAGCCCAAUCUGGGCAACUUAUUGACCUAGCAAGACCCUGUCUAAAAAUAAAAAAUUUUUUUAAAUGUC